rnacentral:rRNA from 1 species
UACGUAGGUGGCAAGCGUUGUCCGGAUUUAUUGGGUUUAAAGGGUGCGUAGGCGGUCUAUUAAGUCAGCGGUGAAAUACUCCAGCUUAACUGGAGGGGUGCCAUUGAUACUGAUGGACUUGAGUCAAGUCGAGGUAGGCGGAAUUGACGGUGUAGCGGUGAAAUGCUUAGAUAUGUCAUAGAACACCGAUUGCGAAGGCAGCUCACAAAACUAUAACUGACACUGAGGCUCGAAAGUGCGGGGAUCAAACAGG